rnacentral:rRNA from 1 species
CGUAGGGUGCAAGCGUUAAUCGGAAUUACUGGGCGUAAAGCGUGCGCAGGCGGUUCGGAAAGAAAGAUGUGAAAUCCCAGAGCUUAACUUUGGAACUGCAUUUUUAACUACCGAGCUAGAGUGUGUCAGAGGGAGGUGGAAUUCCGCGUGUAGCAGUGAAAUGCGUAGAUAUGCGGAGGAACACCGAUGGCGAAGGCAGCCUCCUGGGAUAACACUGACGCUCAUGCACGAAAGCGCGGGGAGCAAACAGGAUUAGAUACCCUGGUAGUCCACGCCCUAAACGAUGUCAACUAGCUGUUGGGGCCUUCGGGCCUUGGUAGCGCAGCUAACGCGUGAAGUUGACCGCCUGGGGAGUACGGUCGCAAGAUUA